ensembl:lincRNA AI662270 expressed sequence AI662270
GGGGGGGGGGNNNGGGGGGAGGAAACUUCAUAUUAAAAGCCCUGUAUAAAAUGCACUCUUUACUGCAUUGAGUUUGGUCAAGAGUUUUCGUGGCUGCCUGUUAGUUUGUGUUACCAAAACGAAACAUUGAAACAUCGGCAUGGAAGUUUCUUCUAGGAGCCUGCCCCCAGUUGAUGACUCUGCAAACUACCUCUGCCGCCAUUUUCUGGGGACCCGGAGUGGUUCUGGGCAAAAUCCUUCAUCUUGGCUGAAUGAAAAAGAGAAAGAAAGAAAGAAAACAUGACUGGUCCUGGUUUUCGGCGCCAUGUGUAUGAG